AUGAGAGGGAGCAAGCGGAAACACGUAGUGACCAGAAAAACAACAAAACGUAGACAACCAACAAACUCUACAACAACCCAAUCCUCAUUCCACAACGUUAUCCUUCAAAUGCAAACAAACAAUGAGCAGUCCAACUAGUAUUGACAGAUGCAAGGAAAACCCUAAUCCUGACAAUUACUUGUUUUCUUUUGGCUGUUUGAUCUAG
rnacentral:lncRNA from 1 species